rnacentral:rRNA from 1 species
UACGUAGGGUGCAAGCGUUGUCCGGAAUUAUUGGGCGUAAAGAGCUCGUAGGCGGUUCGUCGCGUCGGCUGUGAAAUCCCGGAGCUCAACUCCGGGUCUGCAGUCGAUACGGGCGGACUGGAGUACUGCAGGGGAGACUGGAAUUCCUGGUGUAGCGGUGGAAUGCGCAGAUAUCAGGAGGAACACCGGUGGCGAAGGCGGGUCUCUGGGCAGUAACUGACGCUGAGGAGCGAAAGCGUGGGGAGCGAACAGG